GUUCUUUUAGUAUUAAUCAGUACAACUGACUUCCAAUCAGUUA
rnacentral:tRNA from 1 species